GGUGGUGUAGCUCAGUGGUAGAGUAUGUGUUUAGCAUCCAUGAGGUCCUAGGUUAGAUCCCUAGCGCUCUCC
rnacentral:tRNA from 1 species